CAAACCAGUCUCCCUGGACAUUUAAAGCAUAUUUAAAGGAGUUGACGGACAAUUUGAUUGAAGACUUUAGCUUCAUGAAACUAGCUGAUUUGAGCGUAACAAAUAAGGUUUUUACUGCGUUGCAACUGGCUCCAGACUGGAAUUUAUAACCAAGACUAAAUAUUCAAGUGCCUAUGUGAAGUACCUACUUAACAACAAGUUGUAUUAAGAUCUUAUGAAGUUAAUACCUACAUAAGAAACUAAAUUGGCAUAUCAUUCUGCUACUGAAUAAUCAGAAAGCAGUUUUUUAGCUAAUAGAAGAGAAGCUUAUGCUUGAUAUUUCAGAACACUGAUAAUAAUUGUGAUGUGAUUUAAUAUAUGAUACUUAAUAAACACAAAAUACAGCAAAAACCAUGUUUCAUUUCAUUAUUUAAAUGUUGAUGUUGCACUUGACUAAGAGGUCAUUCAUGAUACUAUUGAUUUAUAAAGGCUUGAUAGGAAGUAUUCCUUCUUAAGAGUCCGGCAAUGAUAACAUUGCAACAUGGAAGAAAUUGUAUAAGUAACAUUGUAAGUUGUACUUUUAAUAUAUGGAUACCUACCAUAUCCUCCUCAUUCCUUAGCAGACUUGAGGCCCUGUAUACUUACUUUUACCUGUUGCAAUGUAAUACCCUUGUAAUCACCUACUGAGUAGAGUGGCAAGACAGUACUCUUGGCUGAUCUUAAACCAUUCCGUGGAUCACAAUUUAACAGUGCUCAGCGGAGGACACUGUCUCGGGCCGCUCUACUUGGUGGUGUAAUCAGGGUGUUAGCAUUAUCUGCUUUAUGAAGAUUAGGUAGACACAUUUUUUAUGUUUAAAGCAGGGUUUACUUACAUGAUAACAUUGUGUUUUUACAUAAGCAGACACUUGGUCCAUGCAUAAUGUUACAACUCUUAUUACUAGUUAUUACUGCUUUUUCUUAGAACUGCUUUAAACAUAAAGAAUAAAAAAUAAAACAGCCGCAUUCAACUUUUAAUAUGAUUAAUACAUUACGAGUAAUCGUUUAUAGAGUUUACAAUGCAUGAGUCUAAUAAGUACACACCUAAACUAUGAUCACUUACGACUUACGAACUUUUGGAUUUCGAUAUGAUUAUGGAAUUGUAUUAAGUAUGUGGUUGAAAGCACGAUCUUAGAGUAUGGGUUUGCACUUAUUAUUCAGAAAUAUUAUCACGGUACAAGAUAUUUUCAGUAUUUCACUGUAAUUGUAGGUUAUGUUGAGUAUUUUUUCAAUAAAUUUCCGCCUUGAGUUAAAACUUU